AACCUAGCACACCUGCGGUGUGUACCUGCGGAAGGAUCAUUAACGAAUAUCUAUGGCGUUGGUUGUAGCUGGCUCCUAGGAGCAUUUGUGCACACCCGUCAUUCAUAUCAUCUUUCCACCUGUGAACUAUGUGUAGGCUUGGAUACCUCUCGCUUUGGUGACAAGGCGGAUGCAAGGAUUGCUGCGUCGACAAGGCCAGCUCUCUUUGAAUUUCCAGGUCUAUGUCUUUUUACACACUCC
rnacentral:misc_RNA from 1 species